AACGAACGCUGGCGGCAUGCCUAACACAUGCAAGUCGAACGAGACCUUCGGGUCUAGUGGCGCACGGGUGCGUAACGCGUGGGAACCUGCCCUUAGGUUCGGAAUAACUCCCCGACAGGGGUGCUAAUACCGGAUAAUGUCUUCGGACCAAAGAUUUAUCGCCUUUGGAUGGGCCCGCGUUGGAUAAGCUAGUUGGUAGGGUAAAAGCCUACCACGGCGAGGAUCCAUAGCUGGUAUGAGAGGAUGAUCAGCCACACUGGGACUGAGAAACGGCCCAGACUCCUACGGGAGGCAGGAGUGGGGGAUAUUGGACAGUGGGCUGAAGGCUGAUCCAGCACUGACGCGAGAGUGAUGAAGGCCUUAAGGUUGUAAAGCUCUUUUACCCGGGAUGAUAAUGACAGUACCGGGAGAAUAAGCUCCGGCUAACUACGUG
rnacentral:rRNA from 1 species